rnacentral:rRNA from 1 species
UGGGGAAUAUUGCACAAUGGGCGCAAGCCUGAUGCAGCCAUGCCGCGUGUGUGAAGAAGGCCUUCGGGUUGUAAAGCACUUUCAGCGAGGAGGAAGGGUAGUGUGUUAAUAGCACAUUGCAUUGACGUUACUCGCAGAAGAAGCACCGGCUAACUCCGUGCCGGCAGCCGCGGUAUUACGGAGGGUGCAAGCGUUAAUCGGAAUUACUGGGCGUAAAGCGCACGCAGGCGGUUUGUUAAGUCAGAUGUGAAAUCCCCGCGCUUAACGUGGGAACUGCAUUUGAAACUGGCAAGCUAGAGUCUUGUAGAGGGGGGUAGAAUUCCAGGUGUAGCGGUGAAAUGCGUAGAGAUCUGGAGGAAUACCGGUGGCGAAGGCGGCCCCCUGGACAAAGACUGACGCUCAGGUGCGAAAGCGUGGGGAGCAAACA